GCCAUUGUAGAUCAAUGGUAGAUCGUCUCACAAUUAUAAUGGUUCUUGUGAAGAUGGGGGGUUCGAGUCCUGCCGGUGGCA